rnacentral:rRNA from 1 species
UGUUUAAUUUUAUUAUUAAAUAAAACCUGCUCAAUGAAAAUUAAAUAGCCGCAGAAUUUUAACUGUGCUAAGGUAGCAUAAUCAUUAGAUUUUUAAUUAAAAUCUAGAAUGAAAGGUUUAACUUUUAUUUACUUUAUUAAAUUCACUUAAUUUAAAUUAUAUUAAAAAUAAAAAUAUUUUUAUAAUUUAAAAGACGACAAGACCCUAUUGAACUUAACUUUAGUUAAGCUGGGGCAGCUAAUUAAAAAUAAUUUUAAUUUAAUUAUUUAUAUAGAUACCUAAUAUUAUUAAAUAAAUAAGUUACCAUAGGGAUAACAGCGUAAUUUUUUAUAAAAGUUCUUAUUAAAUAUAAAGAUUGCGACCUCGAUGUUGAAUUAUUUACCUGAUAGGAGCAAAAUUUUAAAAAGGGAGUCUGUUCGACUUUUAAAUAUUUACA